GCAGCUGUGUAUUCAACAACAUGUUAACCUGUCCCAGCGGAUGUUGAUGCUCUUAAAUGAUGUUGAGAAAAAUCCAGGACCGGAGUAUUCGUGCAAAUGGAUAUCCUGCAAGGAAGACUUCCACUCCAUAGGACAGCAAGAUGCACAUAUCAUCUCUCAUGUGGAUCAAGAGAAAUGCUGUAGAUGGGGAGACUGUACCAAAGUCCUGAGCUUUAAUAGUCUUGAAAUCCAUGAACUUAAACAUCUCUAUGAUGUGAGUUUAGCACUGUGUAUGAACUGAUGUUACUUCAUUUUCUGCAUAUCUUUAUCUCAGUCUUCUCUAGUUUUGAUGGUCAAAUACAUAUUGUCUGCCAGUUUUUUUCCCCCAAUACUGCCGUUCAUCGUUUGCUUGCAUCAAGAGUUUUAAAAGAAAUUAAAACUCAUUUGUUUAGUUAGAAUCUUAUGAAAGACUUAAAUGGCCAUGUUUAAUACAAUUGUAUAACAACAUAUACGAGCUAAAAAAAUAGUUGGAAUAAUUAAUGUAUAUAUGAACAUAACAAAUUUACUUAAAAUCAAA